UACGUAGGGUGCGAGCGUUGUCCGGAAUUAUUGGGCGUAAAGGGCUCGUAGGCGGUUUGUCGCGUCGGGGAGUGAAAACCCAGGGCUUAACUCUGGGCUUGCUUUCGAUACGGGCAGACUAGAGGUAUGCAGGGGAGAACGGAAUUCCGUGGUGUAGCGGUGAAAUGCGCAGAGUAUCAGGAGGAACGCCGGUGGCGAAAGGCGGUCUCUGGGCAUUACCUGACCGCUGAGGAGCGAAAGUGUGGGGAGGCGAACAGG
rnacentral:rRNA from 1 species